GUUUUACCUGUGGAUGUCCAAGCCUGGACACAGUUGGCUAGCCAUGUGAAGGAGGCCAUAGGGACAAUGUUUGGACAAUGACGAGGAACCAAGACUGGCAUCUAAGAGAGGGGAAGUGAAUCCCAUAUACUGUCCCAUGCCUGGAAAUGUCAGGUAUGUUUUUUUUCCCUGGGGCUGUGGGAGUAAAGGAAAGGUGAGUAUAUUGUGUCUAGUUGGAAGUUACUUUAGGUGACAAUGCUGAAUAGAGCCCAAGUAGGAUUUGUAUAUGGAUGGGGAGACUGAUCACUAUUGGGACUAGUUGGCCACUAAAGAUAGGGCCAGAUAUUUUUAGAGGCAUGCUCCAUUUUCCUUUUAAAGGCGCAGAAUGUUAUGAAGAAAUAUUUUUUAAAAGCUCAUAAAAAAAACCCC